AUUGAACGCUGGCGGCAUGCCUAACACAUGCAAGUCGAACGGCAGCAUGACAAGAGCUUGCUCUUGUUGAUGGCGAGUGGCGGACGGGUGAGUAAUAUGUAGGAAUCUACCUAGAGGAGCGGGAUAACUUAGGGAAACUUAAGCUAAUACCACAUAAUCCCUACGGGGGAAAGCAGGGGAUCUUCGGACCUUGCGCCUUAUGAUGAGCCUACAUCGGAUUAGCUUGUUGGUGGGGUAAAGGCCUACCAAGGCGACGAUCCGUAGCUGGUCUGAGAGGAUGAUCAGCCACACUGGGACUGAGACACGGCCCAGACUCCUACGGGAGGCAGCAGUGGGGAAUAUUGGACAAUGGGCGAAAGCCUGAUCCAGCAAUGCCGCGUGUGUGAAGAAGGCCUUAGGGUUGUAAAGCACUUUCAGUGGGGAGGAAGUUGAGUUUGCUAAUAUCAGAUUCAAUUGACGUUACCCACAGAAGAAGCACCGGCUAACUCUGUGCCAGCCGCCGCGGUAA
rnacentral:rRNA from 1 species